CNUACGGGAGGCAGCAGUGGGGAAUCUUGGACAAUGGGCGCAAGCCUGAUCCAGCCAUGCCGCGUGAGUGAUGAAGGCNUUAGGGUCGUAAAGCUCUUUCGCCAGAGAUGAUAAUGACAGUAUCUGGUAAAGAAACCCCGGCUAANUNNNNNNCAGCAGCCGCGGUAAUACGGAGGGGGUUAGCGUUGUUCGGAAUUACUGGGCGUAAAGCGCGCGUAGGCGGACUAGUCAGUCAGGGGUGAAAUCCCGGGGCUCAACCCCGGAACUGCCUUUGAUACUGCUAGUCUAGAGUUCGAGAGAGGUGAGUGGAAUUCCGAGUGUAGAGGUGAAAUUCGUAGAUAUUCGGAGGAACACCAGUGGCGAAGGCGGCUCACUGGCUCGAUACUGACGCUGAGGUGCGAAAGUGUGGGGAGCAAACAGGAUUAGAUACCNUGGUAGUCCACACCGUAAACGAUGAAUGCCAGUCGUCGGGUAGCNNNNNNNUCGGUGACACACCUAACG
rnacentral:rRNA from 1 species